UGCAGUCGAACGAUGAACCGCUUUCGGGCGGGGAUUAGUGGCGAACGGGUGAGUAACACGUGGGCAAUCUGCCCUGCACUCUGGGACAAGCCCUGGAAACGGGGUCUAAUACCGGAUAUGACCGUCUGCCGCAUGGUGGAUGGUGUAAAGCUCCGGCGGUGCAGGAUGAGCCCGCGGCCUAUCAGCUUGUUGGUGAGGUAGUGGCUCACCAAGGCGACGACGGGUAGCCGGCCUGAGAGGGCGACCGGCCACACUGGGACUGAGACACGGCCCAGACUCCUACGGGAGGCAGCAGUGGGGAAUAUUGCACAAUGGGCGAAAGCCUGAUGCAGCGACGCCGCGUGAGGGAUGACGGCCUUCGGGUUGUAAACCUCUUUCAGCAGGGAAGAAGCGAAAGUGACGGUACCUGCAGAAGAAGCGCCGGCUAACUACGUGCCAGCAGCCGCGGUAAUACGUAGGGCGCAAGCGUUGUCCGGAAUUAUUGGGCGUAAAGAGCUCGUAGGCGGCUUGUCACGUCGGUUGUGAAAGCCCGGGGCUUAACCCCGGGUCUGCAGUCGAUACGGGCAGGCUAGAGUUCGGUAGGGGAGAUCGGAAUUCCUGGUGUAGCGGUGAAAUGCGCAGAUAUCAGGAGGAACACCGGUGGCGAAGGCGGAUCUCUGGGCCGAUACUGACGCUGAGGAGCGAAAGCGUGGGGAGCGAACAGGAUUAGAUACCCUGGUAGUCCACGCCGUAAACGGUGGGCACUAGGUGUGGGCAACAUUCCACGUUGUCCGUGCCGCAGCUAACGCAUUAAGUG
rnacentral:rRNA from 4 species